rnacentral:rRNA from 1 species
ACUCAAAGGAAUUGACGGGGGCCCGCACAAGCGGUGGAGCAUGUGGUUUAAUUCGACGCAACGCGAAGAACCUUACCCAGGCUCGAACGGUAGAUGACAUCUUACGAAAGUAGGCUCCCGCAAGGGCAUCUAUCGAGGUGCUGCAUGGCUGUCGUCAGCUCGUGUCGUGAGAUGUUGGGUUAAGUCCCGCAACGAGCGCAACCCUUGUCUUCUGUUGCCAUCAGGUCAAGCUGGGCACUCUGAAGAGACUGCCGGUGACAAACCGGAGGAAGGUGGGGAUGACGUCAAGUCAGCAUGGCCUUUAUGUCUGGGGCCACACACGUGCUACAAUGGCAGGUACAAACCGUCGCGAGACCGCAAGGUGGAGCUAAUCGGAGAAAGCCUGUCUCAGUUCGGAUUGUCGGCUGCAACUCGCCGGCAUGAAGUUGGAAUCGCUAGUAAUCGCGGAUCAGCACGCCGCGGUGAAUACGUUCCCGGGCCUUGUACACACCGCCCGU